rnacentral:lncRNA from 1 species
ACCCAGAGUUCUUCAGACAAUGCCCAUGAAACUCCUUCUAGCAAGAUGUACAAUCUUCAAGGAGACAAUUGGGGAUUCUUCAUUUGUCUGCAUAAACUAUCCUCAAUCAAGAUAAUAUAUGAAGAAAAGAGUCUUCUUGCCUGAAGAGAGCAACUGAAGGACCACAAGAAAGUGAAAUCUAUAAGGACUCCAAAAGAUAUUAAUGUCAAUCAGGUUAAUAACCCAAAUCACUGAGGAAACUAAUGCAACAGAUGGCAAUAUUCUGCAUUUAAAAGGCGCAAAGCUUCAAGGAUCUAUUGCUUCCCCCAAAAGCUUCAGGGAUGUCAGGAGGAGAGUCAGUUCAGCGUGGUCAGCACGUGGACACAUCUGUGAGGAAACCCAAGGAAAUAGGCAGCGUUGGUGGAACAGAGGAUCGCUCCCUGUCCAUGUGGCAACUGGAGAUUUCAUUCACUUGCUACUCACUACCCUAUCUGCACAAAUAGAGCACUGAACCCCAAAUAAGGCAUUUUGGCAAGUUUAAAGCUAGCAGCUUUAUGCCUUUUCUCACUGC